rnacentral:rRNA from 1 species
CGUGUAUGAAGAAGGCCUUAGGGUUGUAAAGUACUUUCAGUUGGGAGGAAGGCGUUGAUGCUAAUAUCAUCAACGAUUGACGUUACCAACAGAAGAAGCACCGGCUAACUCCGUGCCAGCAGCCGCGGUAAUACGGAGGGUGCAAGCGUUAAUCGGAAUUACUGGGCGUAAAGCGCACGCAGGCGGUUGAUUAAGUUAGAUGUGAAAUCCCCGGGCUUAACC